GCCCAGAUAUAAUUUUUUUAAAAGUAGGCACUCAGAAAAAAAACCCCCAAAACAAAAAAAAACCCAGAAUGCCACAGAUUUCAGUCUGCAUCAGAGAAUGCUCUCAUUAAAAGGAAACCUUCAGUUCCUUUGUCUGAAGAAACCUCUCGCUUUGUUCAUGUUUAAGAGAAAUGGUUCUAGUUACUGAGAGAGUGUUUGCCUUGCUCAAAAAAAAUGUUUGUGUGGGAGAUGUUUUACAUUUGAGUGACGCCAGAGAGCCAAAAUGUGAAGCUAUAUUGGCAGCAGUGACCACAGGCUGAUGUAGCUGGAAAAAUUCAGCUGAAAGCCUUUGGGGAAAGGGGAGGAUUCCCCCUCCCUGUCCAGGCAAAUGGGUUGUCUGGAUAAGGCCAAGCUCUUUCUGGGUGGGAAAAAUCCGGGUCAGGCAAUGUCCAGGGCUGGAGUACCCUCUUGCCAUCGCCCUGGCUGAGGGCACAUCUGGGCUGCACAUCUGGGGCUGUGCACACCUGCCCACCUGCAGCUCUGUGCUAUUUCUGCCUGCAUGCACUAGAUGGCAUUGCCAACUUGGCUACAGGGACUGUGGGCUCCCAGUGGGCUUCCACGGGGAGUAUGAGCAGUGCUGUUGAUGAUAAUUUGUGAUUUUUUUAAAGUUCUCUGUAUUAGGGAGAGCAUGAUACAGCUGCCAUAUCUGGCAUGGACAGCUCAGGGUGCUGGUGCCUGGGCAUCACAGAGCUGGUGCCACAGCAGGUGUGACUGAAGCCCACGUUGUACUUGUGCUGAGCAGCUGAGGUCCAGCCUGGGGCCCUUCUUUUGGGCACUGGCUGAGCACACAGAAAGAAAUGGUCUUUGUUGUUGCCAACAACCCCUACAAGUGAGGUGGACAAAUAUGAGAAAGGCUAGGUCAGUGGGAUCUGAAUGAGAAACCUGAAUACCAGAGACAUCAGGAGUUCAGCUGAAUCAAGCACCUCUUGAUUCCCCAUUCAGGUGGUUUAUUCCCUUUUGUUGUCUUCAGUCAGAGCCUUGCCCCUGUCCCAGUUUCUCCCCUGGUUGUGCAUGCUGGGCUGGGAUCACUAACACUGAAGCUGAACAGAAAGCUGUGGGGAGAGGGUGCAUCUGAGGGGUUGUGACCUGGUUCCUUGUCUAUAGCAGCUGGGACUGAAUGCCUGAAAAACAUGAAAGCAUACCAAAAAUGGGGGAAUUAUAAUCUGGAGAGCCUUCCUAAACUGUCACUUGCUCCUUGAACUCUGAGCUGCUUUGUAAAGGCCAAAGGUACAUUGCUGGGUUUUUUUGUAUCCCUACAUCCAUUUGCAGAGAGUAAACCAAGUCAAUAAAAUCAAGAAGGAGUGCCUGUGUUGGAUCUGCAACAGAGUCAUAUCCCUGAAAGCAGGAAACCCACCCCAGGGUAGGUUCUGCAGGGCACUGUUCAGCUCUGGAAUGCUGAACAGUGUGGGAACAAGCAGCCAGGGUUGCUUGGUGCUCCUCUUGGGUGUUUGUGCUCCAAGACUCUGAGCACCUCCUGUCCUGCUAGUGUCAGCCCCAAGGCUUCACUGGGACAAAUGUGCCAUUGUUUGUUAUCCUGCCCUGCAGUUUCUCUUGAAAACUAAAUCCUGAGUAGCAUUCAAGUAAAACAGAGUUCCUGAUUUCCCAGAUGGCAGCCAGUGAGGAACACGCUCCUCUAGAAACGUCUGCCAUCUCUAUCUUGUGUCCUCAGGUGGGUUGAUGGCUUAUUUUUCAUUGAGAGUUCCCCUCGGUUGCCUGGGGUGUCCUUCAGGGCACUGGGGUGUGGCUGCCAACAGAUCUAAUGAUCAGCAAAAGCAUUAUUUGUGUUGUGUUAACAUCUCAAAGUAUCUGUGUGACCUUCCAUGCUGCUUGGCUACGUGAUCAGUGUUGGCACUGCAGAAAUGCUCAUGAAAAAUGUUCAGGAUAAAUCUCCCCCUGGUUCCUACUGGUUCCUCUAAAAACUGGUGAUGUGGGAGACUUCAUGAUGCAACACUUCUCUGACAGAAUACUUCUCUCUGCAUGUAAUUAAGAGUUUGUUUGUGGAGAGAGCUGCUCACACACCACUUUGGGCAUUCAAGUUUCCAUGGAGAGGGACCUGGCUGCCUUUCCUGCCUGGUAGAUGCAAGGCUUGGAGUAGAGCUGCUCUUAGAAAAUGAAGCAUUUGUGCUCAGUUGAGCUUCCUGGAAGGAAGACUUGGCCCAAGUGUGUUGUUUGGGCCAUCACAGGACUGUCAGUCAGCAAUUCUUGGUUUCAUGCCUUGUUUUGUAAGAGAUAUUUUGUAGGAUCUUUGGCAAGUCUCUUCUCUAUCUUUUACCCCCUCGGAGAUACAGACAUAAAACAUAGAGAACUAAGAUAGCUGUGAGCUGGAAGAGCUGCUGCCGGACUCUCUACUCCCAUUAACCCCCAAUUUACUGCCCUGCACCAAUGGCCCCAUCAGUGCCAUACAUUGACAUUUCUGAUGGAUUAUGGCCAUUCUCCUGUCAAUGUGAGCAACCCUUGUGUGCACGGUCUCCUGCGUGGGAUACUGAGCAAAAAUUUGGUGGCUCAUACUUUAACAGUGAGCUGAAUUUAAGUUUUGUUUCUCUUUUAGGCAAACAUUGUUUUAGAAGCCAGAAAUUCUGCCAUCAUAAUGUACAUAAAUUUACUGUCAUCAACCCUUUUGACUAACCUGAAAUGCAACUCACUUUUUGGUAUUCCUGCAGACCUGUGUGAUGAGACACAUUGAGAGAACAAUCUGUAUCAGUGACUGUGAGGUGGACAGGAAACACGUGUUUUUACUGCUCACAUAGGAAAGAAAUCUCAUUCGAUUUAUGUGAUCUCAAGCCAAUUAUGUCCCCUGUGCAAAACCCAGGCCUCCAGCAGCGCAGUCUGUAUCUUUAAGACAACAAAAAUAAACCAGCAGCAUCUGUAAUGUCCUUCUUAAUGGGAUGAAUUAGGAAGAAUGUGUAUGGACACAAUCCUAGAGACUACUCUAAGUGAUUGGAGAAGGAGGGUAGGAGAGCAUGUCAUUCUUCAGCUUUAUCAAAGGAGCUGCUUAUGCACAUGCAUUACUUGGAAUGCCAGUCUCCAAACAUUCUGAUUACUCCAAGUGGUGUUCAUCUGCCAGGUAAAUAACAAGUGAGAUACUCAUAUUUACAAUUGAAAUUGCCUGAGUGUUCAGCUGGCCCUCACCUUUCCAGGCUGGACUUUCAUUGCAUGUUACUCAUCGUCAGUGGCUUGAGAAAAUCUCUUGACAAGACUCGCCUUGGAGCUGGCAGGACCAUAUGAGACUUCAUUUGGAAAAGCAGGUUAGAAACUUCUCCCAAAGGUCUGACCCUAAGCUUCCUCUUUAAUUCAGACAAUUCCCAGUAAGGUCUUUCCCAGUCAGAACCACUGUUUAGGAAUAGUAGCACAGGCUUAUUUAUACUGAUUUUUAGUGAUCCAUUACAUUUCUGAUGUUCUGAAAGGGUAUAAAACUGCAUCAUUCUUAGAAGAUAAAAAAAACUUCAGUGCUUUGCUAUGGAGAUGAUUUUGUGUUGAGGGGUAGUGUCCAUUUGCUGCUAAACAACAUCCCCCUCCAUCACUCCCACCCUUAUAGGCAGGGUGUCUGAAUGGAGGAGCUAGAGCAGAUCUGUGCCCUUCUGGUACUAAAAUUAAAGAGAAAAGAAGUCUGAUCACAAACUAUUCAUUUCUAAAAGCAAUCUCCAAAAAUGAAGUAAUAACCCCUAAAUUAUCGCAGUGAUGAGCAAACCUGCAAGUUCAGCUUGCAAACUGGCAGUCAGAGGUUCCUGAUGCCAUAUGCCUGGAGAAGGUAUUUCUUUUUUGUGUUUUUUCACAUGUAUCAGUGUGAGUAACUCUGUUUUAAGUGAGAGCCACUCCAUCUAAAGUUGGGGAUUGAUAUUAGUACUUUCAUAACAGACAUAAUACCUAAAAGUAUGUUUCAGAAUAUGCUCAAGACAUGAUCUGUCUUUCAGUGUGUGAGCUCUAUCUUAGAAUUACAUUUAAACCUCUGCAGUUUAGAAUCUAGGUGAAGGUUUGAUUAUCUAGGAAGAAAGAAAAAAACCGUAAAAACUUAAGCAUAUGAUACUGAACAGAGUUUUCUCUCGAUGGGUUUUGUUCAUAACCUCCUUGUGGAACUUAACAGAAAAUUAAAUCUCUGCCACUGAGUUCUUAAAGGCAUUGGAAAACACUAUGGUGUAGAUCUUACCUUCCAUCAAAUUCCACUCCAGUGACUUUUAAAAAAUGCAGCUGUUUCACUCAUUUUGAAUUCUUGCAGACUUUUCCAUAGGGGAUAUUUCUAGUUCUGUAAACAGUUUCCCAUCAACUCAGUGAGGAGGGGAAAAAAAAAAAGAAGAAAGGCAUUUUGUCUUGAGGAAAAUCUUGUGUGCUCAGCUGGAGCCUUUCCUGUGAAGCCGCUCUCCCAAGGCCCAAGGAGAUGCUGGAAGUUCCCGUGGCUGCUCCUGUGCUCUGUGCGCUCCAGGCUCAGAGAUGCUCUCCUGGCUGCAGAUAACGUGGUUGUGUUGUGCCACGUGCAGGAGUAAUGCGGGUGGAUUCCCAAGGACGUUGACCAGCAAACCUUCCCCAUGCCCGAAAAUCACCAUGUUUAAAAAAGAUAGAAGAAGAAUUUAAAAAGUAUUGCAAGGAAUACAUUGAGUACUUAUUUUGGCUGGUGGUAUCUUUCCAGCCAAGGAAACCCUCUUUGGCUAGAUUUUGAUGUCGUCGCUGUGGGUGAUGAAUAAAUGUCCCUUCUCCCUCUGACCACUGGGCAUGUGUGCUUUGCUUUGAGAAGCUGGCCCUUGGGGCUGAAAUUUUGUCAUAUUUAGUUCUAACCCAAAAUAUUACAGACCAAAUCCAGCCAAAAGUAUUGGGUGAGGGAGAAAGACUAAUGCAUUGGAAGGUUUGCAGCUGGAACCAUCAUGGAGCUGGCUGAGCUUGGGCACAAGUCCCUGCCCCGAAAGCCCAGUCAGACUGGGACUAUGCCCAUGAUGUUUUGCCUUUCCUCCACUUCUACCCAGGUUCCCUUUUGUCUCCACCGAAGGAUUAUGGCACAUUGUGUGACUCUGGCAGCUCAUGGUGUUCAGCUGGGGCGAGGUGCAAGUGGGGUCCAGUGGCAACAGUAUGAGGAGCAGGGUAUUUCCUUGUGCUUUUCCAAAAUAGCUGUGUGUGAUGCUGACUGUGAAGUUAAAAUGAAAGAUAUCUUGUGCUAUGGGCUUUUCCCCCCUUCUUUAAAUAAAUCUAUAGAUAUGGAGGUAGGAGUGAGAGAGAAGGAGAAGCUUUUGGCCAGUGGCUUUGGGCAAACAGAAGAUUGACCCCGCAGUGUUGCUUGCCGGGCAGGGAAGUUAAAUGGAAACAAAAUCAAAUUACUAAAACAAAAAUUAUAGUGAAGGAGAAUCAUGUUUCCUGAAGGGUUUUGCUUCUCCUGGGUGUGGUGGUCUCUCUUGGCAGGACGUCAGGCUGAGCUCAGUGCCGGGUGGUCACCAUGCAGCACCCUGGGACUGCAUAUCCCGCUUUGUUCUUGGCACGUGGGGUGGGGCUGUUUAUUUAACCAGCUAACUUAGAGCCCCCAAGGACUCCAGGCUCCUGUUUAUCGUUCAGAGUGUCAGCAUUAGUACAGUGCUUCUUUCUUUGGGGUAUUUUUAUUUAGUAACUGCUAACCAGAAAUACACGAUUUCAAGCUUCCCUCUUGUAGAUACCACAGAGACUUGGGCUUGCAGGCAAGAUAACGGGCAAAGUGAAGCUUAGGGGAAUGCUGAGCUCUCACCUGCAAUGCCCUAGUGCAGGCACAGUUGGGUUUAACCCUCUGGGCUGGGGACGAGAUUCUUGGAACAUGAGGAUGUUGGAAAAGACAGCUCUGAGUAUUGCCAAGCUCCUUGAGGAGAUGUUGUAGUUGUGUAUUUUCUUCUCAGCGAUUCUCAUGCUGCCCCAGCUGUGCUCUGGGUUUAUUUCCAGCAGGAGUGCUCAGAGGUUAGGCCUGAAAAAAUGGGCAUUAAAUGCAAUGCUGCAUUUUAUAAACAUUAAAUACAACCAGGCCUUGAUGUGAGCAGUGACUCACAGGUCUAAAAAGCUGUGGGUGUCUCCUGCCUCCCAAAGCACUCACUUCCCAAUGAGAGCCAAACCCCUACAUGGUGCCCAGCUCUUGGUGCUCUUCACUGCAGCAAUGACAGACUUCUACGCUCUACCUAUGGUAAGUAUAGCAGCUCUGCAUGCACAUAGGAUCCAGAAACCAGCCAUAACUCCAUGAAGAUAACAGUGUGAUGCUUCUUCAUGUGUCUAAGGAAUGGACUUGGAGUUUUCAUUUAUUUUCAUAAGAAAACAGUGCUUAGAUAAAAAGGGAAAACUUUUAGCCCAAAUGCCUGAUUCCAGCCCUGUUUGACAUGUGGGUUGCUAUCCCAAAGAGAUCAAGCUCUUCUAAAUUUCAUAAAAAUUAGUAGCAGAAUGGUGGAGAAGGGUUCAAGCUGGACCCUUGGUGGAGAAGGUUGUAGCGUUAAGUCUACAGCCGUCUUCAGAAAACCCACAGGUGAAAGCUGCAGAAAACUGGGUUUCCUAAGUUUAUCUGUUCACAGAUCUCCUUGCUUUUCUUGUACAUGUGCCUGCAAAAAGACCUACAUCUAUCUCUCUUUCCAUUUCACACAUUUUCACCUUGUCUUGAAAAUGGGAUGUGUUGCAGGCAGGACCCCUGCCUCUCAAAGGGACUGACUUGAGGGUGAAUAAAUAACAGCAGGAGAAGCUGGGGAUAGCUGGAAGAAAACCUUAGGUCAAGUCUAAAUAUCAUCGUGGAUGUGCUGUACAUUCCCAGACAGGGAGCAGGGUGGUGUGGAGGCAUAUUUGAGAUUCAUUUGUCUCUGAGCUGUUUAGUACCUUGUGAGAUGGCACAGAAAGACUGUUAACAAAGAAUCUGCUGCUAUUCAGGGCAGCCUUGAGUCAUUGUGGUUUAAAAAAUAAAUUAUCAUAUAAAUAGCUGCUUAGGAAUCUCAGCCUGAAGACCACAAAAUCUCACCAGUGCAUAGCUUUUUUGGCUUAUGUAGCACCAUGUCUACUUGCGGAAUAUUUUGGCCGUGUGUUGUACACCACUUCCUAUUUCAAAAAGAGUAUUAUAGGAAAAGAAUAAAGUCUAUUGUCAGUGACAAUUGCUGGUGGUUUCCUAGUGCCUCUCAUUCCAGGAGGCUGAGCAUAUCAUAACUGGAUUUUUCCUGUCUUCGCUGAACCCGCUCCAAGAUGCCACUACCUUGUGGAGACUGGUAUCCCCUGCCCUGGAUACCCAGAGGUUGGAAUCAAUCAUCCUGCCCUGAUUUGAAUGACCACUUUACCCCUCCAAAGGUUCACAUUAACAGGGCCAUGCUGGUGUAACAACUUACAUUUCCCCAGGAUGUGGAGCCUGAAGUAAGUGAGCGUGGGCUGGGUUGGAGCCAGGAAACCGUCUGAGGCAGGGAUGCAGAUAUUGCCGGAGUGUUCCUACAGGUGCCUGAUUGUUCUUCUCCAAAGAGGGGAUGCUUUGCUGCAUGCUUUGCCAUGUCUUGGAGAGCCUUCCUGAACAGGGGGACUGAAUGAGCUAAACCUUCCUCCUGGAGCCAUCCCUGGGAAUCCAAGGUGGAUGGAAUAGCAGGGACAAUAAGAGUUGAUCCUGUUUGCCCCCAAGAGUGUGCAGCAUGUGCUUUGCCUGCAUGUUGGGACUUCAGAGAGGCUCUGGUUAUGGUUUGGAGAGGACACUUUUGGGAUGCCUCAGGAAAAUGCCACCUUCUGGCUUGGUGCUGAAAACAUGAAUAUGAAAGCACUGCACGGUAAAGGGAAGAUCAUGAGUGUCAAAAGCUCCACAUCUGAUUCCUGCAUGGAAGAUCCUCCCUGCACUUCCCAUUGGCACCCACCUACUGCCAGCCAGCCUGCAGCCAUGUGAAGGUCAGGUAAAAAUAACAGCUUUUUUUGCAAGGCUGACUAAAUGAAGGAAAGGGGUAGGGGAAGAAGGGAGAUAAAUGGCUGUGGUUUGCCAAAACCCCUACAUCUGGCACAUACAGAUUGCUAACAGGGGCAAGCAGAGGCAGCAGUGGCUAAGAAAAAGAGUCCUUACUCUUAGCAGCCAUUUCACAUGCACAGACUUAAAAAAGCCUUCCUUGCUGCCCGACUCUGCUGCAGCAGGGUGGGUGUGGAGCUUGGAGAUUGUUCAAAUUCUGCAUUUCUGGCCCCGCAGAGGCUGCUCUGGCUCACAGCGAUGUCACCGUGAGGGAAUGCGCUUCCCCUGCGCUGGGACAUCUCUGGCCAACACCAGAUACCCUUCCUUCCUGCCUGCUCCCAUGGUGGGGAUUAUUGCUUUUGGCUUCUCCUGGCUUUGAAAGGCAUCCAAAGAGCUCAGCUUUUGCAAGCUGAGAGCAGAGACAGAAAGCCUCUCCCUGCCUCACCUGUUUGUGGUUAUUCAGCUCCCUCCCUUCACGCUUUGGCACAAUAAUGGCCUGAAAGUAAAACAAGAGGCAAGUUCUCCUCCCGGCUCAGAGCACUGAAUGAAACCCAGCCAGCGGGGCCUAUUGAGACAGCAUCAAGACAAAUGUCAACUUUAACACAAAGAGGCUUAAAUGACUGACACAGAAAGGAAUAAUCUCAGAUCUGUUUUCCAGGCUGCUCCCCAGCAUAGUUGUGCUGCAGACGGAGACAAUUUUCAGUUCCCCAGGGAGAUUGUAUAGCCAAAAAAAGAUACUUGGUGGUGAUACGCUAUAAGACUAGGUCAUGAGAAUGGAUGUUUGGAAUAAUGACAGAAUUCAUUAUAGACAAACUAAAUUAACAGAGUGUGUUGAGAAACAUAUGGGGAGGAAAUUGCCACUGAAGCCCUGCAAAGUGUAGCUUUACUUCUCAUUGUGCUGGGUUCUCCCAAGGCCUCCAUGAAACAGGACAGGGGGUUAUAGAAGUCAUUUUGUGGCAACUCUCUGAAUCUGUUGCCUUUUUUGCAGGAUGGCUAUUUGCCUUUGAAUCUUCUGAAAAAGUAAAAGUAAUUAAGGCUCAGGAAGAAUGGGAUUCAAAUGAAAAUAUUCUCCCCAGAAGCAAGAAGAAAAUAAUGUUGUAGUUGGUGUCUUCUUGACCUUGCUCAGAACUUAGCAGUGAAGUGGCUGCAGUGUGGGGGCUGCACUCACCCAUGCCAGGCACCAAGAGCACCCUUCCUUGCCCCUGCACUGCAUUUGCCUUAUCAGGCACUGAGAGCAUCCUCAUCGCCCCAGUGGCACCUCCCUAAGCAGCCACUAGUCCAGCUGCCUCUGGCUUCGAAGAGCUUUGAUCCCAUUGUAGACCCUUUGGGGAAUGUGCUCAGCCUCUUGCCAGAGGCUUCACAUCCUGGGCUGCCAGAAGGAGCUGAGGAGCUCCCCAGGAGACCCUGAGGUAAUUGUGCAGGAUUAAAGAACCAUUGGUCCUUUCAUUGGGAUUAAUGGAUCCUCAGUCAGUGUCCUCCCCAGGACCUCCAUUGCCUGCAGAACUUACCAAAAAGUGUAGUUGCCUUUCGCAAUUAUCAAUUCAAAGCUAUCUGGUAAGAGCUGGAAGCUUCAGGAAAAGUCGCUGUAUCUGAGCAGGCAGUGGCCCCGUGGUGUUUUUGGGUGGCAAAUUGCUGAGCAGAGACUUGGAGCCAUGGCCAUGGGCUUCCAGCAGGGAAACAGAUCUCGGCUUGGUGCCAGAUAUCCAUGCCCCAUGGAAAUCUGUGUUUCUUGUUUUCUGAAAUAUGAAAACUUGUGUUUCUGAAAUAUGUUACUCUGUAGAAGAGACUGCAGGACUGUAGCAAAGAACUUUUAAAGUCAAUGAAACAAUUAACAGCUGGAGUAUAACAGGAUAGUGUUUAGUAGAAAAAAAUCACCCUGGAGAAACUCAAGAUGAAUGACUGAAUAAGAAGAAAUUUAGGGAGUUUUGCUUUUUAUAUUUAUAUUUAUUCACACAUGUGUAUGUAACACCUAUAUACGUGCCUAUACAUGCCUGAGAAGUAAUGAGAGAAUGUCACAAAUCCAGAGCAGUGUGGCACAAGGAAAGGCAGGAGGAUGCUCUGCAAGCUAGUGCAAGUUAGCCUGGCAUAUGACCCAUGCUAAGCAAUGGCAAAUGUGGCCCCAAAUUCAAUUAGUAAAGAAUUAAAGGACUGAAUUUAAUUAAUGUGGAGCACUAUGGAAAUAGUCCUUUUAUUCAAAAGAAACCUACUUUUAUUCUUUCUCUCCCCAGGAUCUGUAAGUCAAGCUGAUAGUGAGGCAUGACAUGUUUUGAAAGAUGUUUAGCUUAAUAUUUCAGGAGGUCCCAGUGGUAGGACACAGCAAAGAGCUUAAGAACAAGGUAAAUGAGUAACCUCAAACAGGAGCUUAAGAAGCAUCUACUGCAAUAGCCUCCCUGGGUCUGGAAGAGAAGAACUGCAGUUCAAAAAAACGUACUGUUAGGUUUACUGUUGGGGCCCUCCCUCUGCCAUGUGGUCCUGGGGGAGGGGCCCUGGGGGGGAGACACAGGGUUUCCCUAGCCCCUGGUCAGCCUCCUUUGCCAUUGGUUGGUUUGUGUUUCCUGGUGCAGGCAGGGACCCUCGGUCCUGUGGUUGAGAGUUCCUCGGCAGAGCCCGGCCAUGUAGCUGGAGAAAUAAACAUCUCUCUGAAACAUCUACCAAGAAUCU